rnacentral:lncRNA from 1 species
AUGCUCAAGGCAACUGUUUCUGUGUCAGAGAUUUUCAGACUAGGCUUUAUAAGGCAAAGAGUUUACCCUCUCCUCCCUCUCCCUCUGCAAAAGCCCCAAAUCUUCCACCAACCAAAUAAAGGGCUAUGUACCUCUUUGGAGUAUAAAGUGUUUUGGCUUCUGUGUGUAGCUGUGAAGCCUGAAGAGCUGGAGGAAUUACAGAAACCUGAUUGUUUAUUGACUGGGAGUAAACAGAAGAGGGGCAAGGACAGGGAAAGGGGAGAAGAGAAAAUCCCUGAAGAAGCUGAGGAGCUUUCCAAAGAACAAAUAAAUUGGAGAACAAUGAGUGACAUUAUAUUCCAAAAUACUGAGAUACAACUACAAAACCCUCAGAGGACCCAGAGAUGGGGGGUUAUGUGUGUAUGUAUAUAUAUAUAUGUAUUUAUAUGCACAACUGGCAAUACCCAUAUUUUUUACUGCAAUGAAAUAUAGGGAUAAAGACCCAAGAGUGAAAAAGUGAUUGUAACUACAUUUAAUGCAGGUAUUUGCAUAUUUCAUGAUGAUAAAGGGAUUAAAUGAGACUGCUUUUAGAUCAGUAUAAAAGGAUCUUUCAAUAUUGUAGUCAUUAAUUCUGGAUUUUACAUAAGAUACUUGUAAAUCAAGCAAUUUUUCUUCAUGUCUAGGUAUUUCUAGAAGCUGACUGCAGUAUCACUGAAGUGUUUGAAAUAGGGGAAAUAAAAGUUGUAUGGCUGGAGACA